UACAGAGGCCCCAAGCGUUUAGGCGGAAUCACUGGGCUUAAAGCGCACGUAGGCGGGUUGUUAAGUCAGGGGUGAAAUCCUGGAGCUCAACUCCAGAACUGCCUUUGAUACUGGCAACCUAGAGGCUGGAAGAGGUUAGUGGAAUUCCCAGUGUAGAGGUGAAAUUCGUAGAUAUUGGGAAGAACACCGAGGCGAAGGCAGCCAUCUGGACCGACACUGACGCUGAGGCGCGAAAGCGUGGGGAGCAAACAGGG
rnacentral:rRNA from 1 species